UUUGACACUUUGCCUUCCAUGGAUGCCUGGGACUCUUCAUUGACUCUCUGCAGGGGUUGUAGUUCUUCAACAGCAUCAGUCCUUCAACCCUAAAGUCCAAGAUUCUGAAACCCAAACCCACAUUCCCUAGAGCCUAUAUUAGGGUCCAGUACCUCUUGGGGCUACCGGGAUGUCAGCUGUCAGUUGAGAGCCAGGCAAACGACACACUAUUGAAUGAAAAUUUGAACCACCUGCCUGGAAUUAAGGUCCCUUGGUUAAUGGGGACUGAACAAUCGAAGGUUUGGAGGCAAGUGAAACAGCCCAGCUCCUGCGAUCUUUCAGAAGGAAACACAACAACCUAGCAAGCAGUGCAGAGACUGGCAUUAAUUGUCUGAGAAAGGUCUCAUUUAUCUCCCUGGAAAAUUUCCCCCUGCGAAUGCCAAUUAUCACCAGAGUGUGGAUUCUCUAAGGUACUCAGUAA